UAUCUCUGUAGAGUCUGCAUAUCAAUAAGCGGAGGAAAAGAAACUAACAAGGAUUCCCCUUAGUAACGGCGAGUGAAGCGGGAAGAGCUCAAAUUUGAAAUCUUCAAGGUUCUGACCUUGACGAAUUGUAGUUUAAAGAAGUGUUUUCGGUUAGAGGAGUAGCUAAAAGUUCCUUGGAAUGGGACAUCAUAGAGGGUGAGAAUCCCGUAUUUGGUUAUUCAUUCUAGCUUUGUGAUACACUUUCAAAGAGUCGGAUUGUUUGGGAAUGCAGUCCAAAAUGGGUGGUAAAUUUCAUCUAAAGCUAAAUAUUGGCGAGAGACCGAUAGCGAACAAGUACCGUGAGGGAAAGAUGAAAAGAACUUUGAAAAGAGAGUUAAACAGUACGUGAAAUUGUCAAAAGGGAAGCGUUUGACACCAGUGUUGUUUUUCCGAAAAUCAAUUACGAAUGGCUUGAUUUUGUGUUGUAUUGACCUUAUCAGCUUUCUGCACUUUUUUCGAGUCUUUCUUAAUGCACUUUUCGGUUAACAAGUCAACAUCAAUUUCUUUUGUUGUAAAAGAGUAUUCGGAAGGUGGCUUUCUUUUCGGAGAAAGUGUUUAUAGCCCUAUACUUCUACAAUCGGGGAGAUUGAGGUCUGCAGCGUAGAUCCUUCGGGGUUAGAUACAUUUGUGCUAAGUUGUAGCUUUUCAUAGACAACUUGUUGACUAUGUUUAGUCAUGCGGCUUACUCGCUUAUGCUAUUUUACCUACGCUUAGGAUGUUGACUGAUAUGUAGUCGUA
rnacentral:rRNA from 1 species